CCCGUGCCCCCCUCACACCCGCUCCCCAGCCGGGCCCGGUCCCCGCCGACAGGUGCACGGAGCUGCGCUGAGGCAAGCGGUGGUAAAAGUCACCAAGUCCAAGGUCUGAUCAAAUCCCGGGCACGCUGAUAGCGAGGACAGCUCGCGGGGACCCGCCGACUAAGGCUGUCUUUCACUUUCCAUUAUAAAAGAUUCAUGCCAGCUUUUCCUGAUAAACUCUUCUGCCCCUUCUUGUGCAAGGAUUUGGCGUUUGCUGAGAGACGCCUUUGGGACAGGACCGUGACUUGGUGGCUGCCGCCCCCAGGUUUUGCCCAGGUGUCUCUGACCUCGGUGAAAGCGCCCUUCCUCACCCGCCACCUGUGUGCUGCGGGGAGCUGCUGACAGCAGGCCGAAUUAACGACGUGGCAGGCCUCUGGAAACACCUCAGGGCAGCCCUGGCAAGUGCCAAGGGAAGAACCAAGGGAAGAAAGCUGGUACAAGCUUCCCCAGCUGCUGUAACGCGGCGAGGGAAGAGGAGAACCAGGCUCCUUCGGGCUCUUGUGCCAUGGCCUCUGAAAUCUGUCACCUUUCAGGUCUGGCAGCACUGCCACUGAGCACUGCAGCCUGGGGCUGGGAUCCCAGCAGUGCCCCACGUAGUACCAAGCGGCAGCCAGCGUGCUUGUUGCUCUCCUUCCUCCUGCGUGCUGGAUCUUUAUUUGGGUGGGGAGGACACUUAUAUUUAAACAGUAAUGAAAAUACGUUACGAACAAGUUGAACUUUGAACAUAAGGAGAAGUCAGAUUGAAAUAAAUGUUGUGGUGCCUCUAAAAGCUUAAA